UACAGAGGGUGCAAGCGUUGUUCGGAAUUAUUGGGCGUAAAGGGAGUGUAGGCGGUUUUUUAAGUCUUCUGUGAAAUCUACGGGCUUAGCCUGUAAAGUGCAGAGGAAACUGGGAGACUAGAGUGUCGGAGAGGAUAGGGGAAUACCCGGUGUAGAGGUGAAAUGCGUAGAGAUCGGGAGGAACAUCAGUUGCGAAGGCGGCUCUCUGGACCAGCACUGACACUGAGGCACGAAAGCGUGGGGAGCAAACAGG
rnacentral:rRNA from 1 species